rnacentral:rRNA from 1 species
CCAGACUCCUACGGGAGGCAGCAGUGAGGAAUAUUGGGCAAUGGGGGCAACCCUGACCCAGCCAUGCCGCGUGAGUGAAGAAGGUCUUCGGAUUGUAAAGCUCUUUCGGACGUGACGAUGAUGACGGUAGCGUCUAAAGAAGCACCGGCAAACUUCGUGCCAGCAGCCGCGGUAAUACGAAGGGUGCGAGCGUUGUUCGGAAUUACUGGGCGUAAAGGGAGUGUAGGCGGAUAUGUAAGAUAGCGGUGAAAUGCCGGGGCUCAACCCCGGAACUGCCAUUAUGACUAUGUAUCUAGAGUAAUGGAGAGGAUAGCGGAAUACCCAGUGUAGAGGUGAAAUUCGUAGAUAUUGGGUAGAACACCGGUGGCGAAGGCGGCUAUCUGGCCAUUUACUGACGCUGAGGCUCGAAAGCAUGGGGAUCAAACAGGAUUAGAUACCCCAGUA